GGGGAUGUGGCUCAAGUGGUAGCGCGCUCGCCUAGCAUGCAUGCGGCCUGGGUUCGAUCCCCAGCAGCACCA
rfam:Ictidomys tridecemlineatus contig022583, whole genome shotgun sequence.